ensembl:lncRNA LINC01447 long intergenic non-protein coding RNA 1447
GUGUUAAUCAGCUCAAUUAGACUCCCUUCCUUAUCACACGGACAGAGGGCUUUCUGUAUCCUGGGGUUUCUUGUCUUGGUGUACCGGAAGAAUUGGAUCAUGGGUGGGCUUGGAGAAUGAGUGCAAGGUUCUAUUGAGUAGAAGUAGCCCUCAGCAGAUGGGGGAGCCAGAAGGGAGAUGGUUUUUGCCUGCAGUCAGGCCACUUGGCCGCCCCAGCUCUCCUCUGACUGCUCCAGCCAAACUCCGCCUCAUUCUGCCAGUCGAUGGCCAGCAUGUCGGCAUCUGUUGAUGUGCUCUUCUGCUGGCAUGCUCCCUCGACGUUCUCUCAAUAUCCGGCCGCCUGUGUCUUCUUCUGCUGAUCUGCUCCUCUCCACAUCCAGCGGCUUGUGUGUCUGCCUGAUGAGGUCAGGAAGUGGCUAAGAAGAGAUCCAUGAAGAUUAACAUUCAGUGCUCAAUUUCUGAAGGAAACAGGGAGUGAAAGGCCGUGGAAGAAAACAGGGCUGCCACGAACAUGCUCUUGGCUGUUUGAAAAGAUCCAGCGCAGCUUGAACUUCAAAAAUAACUCCAUUCACUAUGGUUGCAGUUGGGCUUGGGGAAUUUCUCACAAUCAAAAGCAGCUGCUUCAUCUCAUUUAGCCAUUAGGCUGAGCUCCACAGGCUCGCUGCAGGAUCUUAGAGCCUACAAGGCCCUGCUAAGAGUAGCCGCGUUUUCCAGCAUGCAGUAGAUCAGCGAGUGUUUACAUUUGUGUUUGGAAUGCUCAUGAGUCCUUUGGGGCAAAGACUGAGUCAUUAAUCAGAGCUUUCUAUGAACGUAUUGCUGCCCAAGCCUCUGUGAAUGUGAGUACGGCCUUGUCCCCUGAGUGACGCUGAAAGAGAGUGAAGCACAUGUGCUCCAUAGGACUGCCACGGCCACCCCUCUCAUUCACUUUUCCAUUCAGCGCUGAGACUAAGUUUAACUCAUUUUUCUUUUGUUGUGAAAAGAGAAUGCACACAAAAAUUCAAAUGUUACCAAAUCGAUAUCAGGUUGGAAGCUGAUUCCCCUUGCCUGAGUCCGGGCUGUGUUUGGCGAUACUUGUAAAGAAUGGAAUCUGGCUGAGGUGGAGGUGUGUGACUUUGAGGACUAGGUCCAAAGAAGGCAUUGUGGUUUCCAUCUUGACUGCUCUUUCCCUUGGAUAGCUGACUCUUAGGGAAGCCACAUGCCACACCAUGAGCAGCUCUGCGGAGAGACCCAUGCAGCAAGGAAAUGAGGCUUCCAGUCAAGAGCUGCAUGACUGAAUGAACUUGUUACCAAAACACCAGGGGUUUGGUCCAGGUCCUUCUGCUCACCGCAUGGAAAGCUCAUCACUGAGAUGACAAGUAUUGCCAAGGAAGGAUUUAAUCAGGUGCUGCAACCGAGGAGAUGGGAGCUCAGUCUCAAAUCCAUCUUGCUGACCUACUAAAACGAGGGAUUUGUAUAGCAGGGAAGAAAUGAAACAAUGUGUAAGAAAACAGCAACUAGGGAGGGGCACGGAAGCAAUCAUGAUGAAUGAGGGGGCAGCAUCUCAUUGUCUGAAUGCGGUGAUCUGGCCUUAGCUGCCUUCCCGCGGGGCAGGCCUCGGGACUGCAGCCCACCAUGCCUGAGCCUUCCCCCUCCUCCGUGGAUUCCUGUGCAGCCGGAGCCUCCCCGACGAGCGCCACCCCCUGCUCCAUGGCGCCCAGUCCCAUCGACCGCCUAAGGGCUGAAGAGUGCGGGCGCAAGGCACCGGGACUGGCAGGCAGCUCCACCUGCAGCCCCGGUGCGGGAUCCACUGGGUGAAGCCAGCUGGACUCCUGAGUCUGGUGGGGCCUUGGAGAACUUUUAUGUCUAGCUCAGGGAUUGUAAAUACACCGAUCGGUACUCUGUAUCUAGCUCAAGGUUUGUAAACACACCAAUCAGCACCCUGUGUCUAGCUCAAGGUUUGUGAGUGCACCAAUCGACACUCUGUAUCUAGCUGCUCUGGUGGGGCCUUAGAGAACCUUUGCGUGGAUACUCUGUAUCUAACUAAUCUGAUAGGGACGUGGAGAACCUUUAUAUCUAGCUCAGGGAUUGUAAACGCACCAAUCAGCACCCUGUCAAAACAGACCACUUGGCUCUACCAAUCAGCAGGAUGUGGGUGGGGCCAGAUAAGAGAAUAAAAGCAGGCUGCCGGAGCCAGCAGUGGCAACCCACUGGGGUCUCCUUCCACACUGUGGAAAGUUUGUUCUUUCGCUCUUUGCAAUAAAUCUUGCUGCUGCUCACUUUUUGGGUCCACACUGCUCUUAUGAGCUGUAACACUCACCGCGAAAAUCUGUAGCUUCAUUCCUGAAGCCAGCGAGCCCACGAGCCCACCGGGAAGAACGAACAACUCCAGACGUGCCGCCUUAAGAGCUGUAACACUCACCGCGAAGGUCUGCAGCUUCACUCCUGAGCCAGCGAGACCACUAACCCACCAGAAGGAAGAAACUCCGAACAUCAGAAGGAACAAACUCCAGACGCGCCACCUUAAGAGCUGUAACACUCACUGCGAGGGUCCGCGACUUCAUUCUUGAAGUCAGUGAAACCAAGAAUCCACCAAUUCCGGACACACUAUCACCCAUGAAGAGUAGUUACUGUAACAUUGUAGCACACUGCAUUACUCAGGUGUUUGUGGGGUUGCUGAUGUGAACAAACCUGCAUGGCCAGUUGCAUAAAAGUAUAGCACACACGAUUAUGUACAGCCCAUAAUACGUGAUAGUGAUAAUAAAUGACUGUUACUGGUUUAUGU